rnacentral:rRNA from 1 species
UACGUAGGGGGCAAGCGUUAUCCGGAUUUACUGGGUGUAAAGGGAGCGUAGACGGCAAUGCAAGUCUGGAGUGAAAACCCGGGGCUCAACCCCGGGACUGCUUUGGAAACUGUGUAGCUGGAGUGCAGGAGAGGUAAGUGGAAUUCCUAGUGUAGCGGUGAAAUGCGUAGAUAUUAGGAGGAACACCAGUGGCGAAGGCGGCUUACUGGACUGUAACUGACGUUGAGGCUCGGAAAGCGUGGGGAGCCAAACAGGG